GACAGAUUAAACUUGCAGCAGAACAUAAAGAGCUUUACCAAGGCAAGUGGUCGAACCUUGAUGUUGCAUCAUGGCCAGUUAUAGAGAAGAUCACAACACAAAUGCAAACCGAUGGGGUAUCUUGCGGGCUAUGGAUGAUAAACUAUAUGGAAUACUGGACAGGAUCCUCCCUAUCUGAUAACGUAACUCAGGUUUAAGCUACCUGCAAUAUUAUGGGACUCGAGAUUAAACACAAAGAAA